rnacentral:rRNA from 1 species
CCCGGGCCUUGUACACACCGCCCGUCACACCAUGGGAGUUGGUUUUACCCGAAGCCGGUCAUGCUAACCCGAGAGGGGGGCAGCCGACCACGGUAAGGUCAGCGACUGGGGUGAAGUCGUAACAAGGUACCC